CUUGCAGGGCAGUUUGUCUUGCUUAACACCUGAGCCAAGACUAUUCCAAUAAGGGACCAAGAGAGUAGAGGAACAGCCCUCUCAGCUUCAGUAUUACAAACCAAGACUGCUGCUGCUUCUCCACCAGCCAUGCUGUCUCCUUCCUGCUUGGGACUUGUGAUCUUGUUGAUAUUGAGGGGGACCAGUGGAGCCUCAGUGAACCAGACAGAAGGCCCUGUUACCCUCGUAGAGGGGGCAUUUUUGACCCUGAAAUGCACUUACCAGACUACAUAUUCAGUUUUUUUUUUCUGGUAUGUCCAAUAUCAAAACAAAGAGCCUGUUCUCCUCCUGAAAAGCUCAUCGGAUAAUCAGGAGGAUCCAGCAUGACCCAGAAAGUAAUUCAAGCCCAGUCUGCAAUUUCUGUGGUGGAGAAGGAGGCUGUGGCCUUGAACUGUGCAUAUGAAGUUAGCAGUUACAAUUAUUAUUUGUUCUGGUACAAA